ACUCCUACGGGAGGCAGCAGUGGGGAAUAUUGCACAAUGGGCGCAAGCCUGAUGCAGCCAUGCCGCGUGUAUGAAGAAGGCCUUCGGGUUGUAAAGUACUUUCAGCAGUGAGGAAGGUGGAUAUGUUAAUAGCAUAUUCUAUUUGUACGUUAGCUGCAGAAGAAGCACCGGCUAACUCCGUGCCAGCAGCCGCGGUAAUACGGAGGGUGCGAGCGUUAAUCGGAAUUACUGGGCGUAAAGCGCAUGCAGGUGGUUUGUUAAGUCAGAUGUGAAAGCCCGGGGCUCAACCUCGGAAUUGCAUUUGAAACUGGCAAACUAGAGUACUGUAGAGGGGGUAGGAAUUUCAGGUGUAGCGGUGAAAUGCGUAGAGAUCUGAAGGAAUACCGGUGGCGAACGGCGGCCCCCGUGGACAGAUACUGACACUCAGAUGCGAAAGCGUGGGAGCAAACGA
rnacentral:rRNA from 1 species